GACGAACGCUGGCGGCGCGCUUAACACAUGCAAGUCGAACGGAAAGGCCUGCUUUCCCUUGUGUAUUGUGGGUACUCGAGUGGCGAACGGGGGAGUAACACGUGAGUGAUCUGCCCCCAACUUGGGUAUAAGCCUGGGAAACUGGGUCUAAUUUCCGAUAGGACUGCAGGGUGGUUCCUGUGGUGGAAAACGAUUUUCUAGUGGUUGGGGAUGAGCUCGCGGCCUUUCAGCUUGUUGGUGGGGUAAUGGCCGACCAAGGCGGCGACGGGUAGCCGGCCUGGGAGGGUGGACGGCCACAUUGGGACUGGGAUACGGCCCAGACUCCUACGGGAGGCAGCAGUGGGGAAUAGUGCACAAUGGGCGGAAGCCUGAUGCAGCGACGCCGCGGGGGGGAUGACGGCCUUCGGGUUGUAAACUCCUUUCGACCGCGAGGAAGCCACCUGGUUGGAAGGGUGGUGACGGUAGUGGGAGAAGAAGCACCGGCUAACUACGUG
rnacentral:rRNA from 1 species